rnacentral:rRNA from 1 species
UGGGGAAUAUUGCACAAUGGGGGAAACCCUGAUGCAGCCAUGCCGCGUGUGUGAAGAAGGCCUUCGGGUUGUAAAGCUCUUUUGUCAGGGAAGAAACGGUGAAAGCUAAUAUCUUUUGCUAAUGACGGUACCUGAAGAAUAAGCACCGGCUAACUACGUGC